ACCAGACUCCUACGGGAGGCAGCAGUGGGGAAUAUUGCACAAUGGGGGAAACCCUGAUGCAGCGACGCCGCGUGAAGGAAGAAGUAUCUCGGUAUGUAAACUUCUCUCAGCAGGGAAGAAAACAGACGGUACCUGACUAAGAAGCCCCGGCUAACUACGUGCCAGCAGCCGCGGUAAUACGUAGGGGGCGAGCGUUAUCCGGAUUCACUGGGUGUAAAGGGAGCGUAGACGGCCAAGCAAGCCAGGGGUGAAAGCCCGGGGCCCAACCCCGGGACUGCCCUUGGAACUGCUUGGCUGGAGUGCGGGAGGGGCAGGCGGAAUUCCUGGUGUAGCGGUGAAAUGCGUAGAUAUCAGGAGGAACACCGGCGGCGAAGGCGGCCUGCUGGACUGCGACUGACGUUGAGGCCCGAAAGCGUGGGGAGCAAACAGGAUUAGAUACCCGAGUA
rnacentral:rRNA from 1 species